UCCGAUAAAAUUGGAACAAUACAAAUUGGAAUGAUACAAAGAAGAUGAGCAUGGCCCUGUGUAAGGAUGACAUGCACCAAAUCGAGAGAUAGAUAUCCAAC